rnacentral:lncRNA from 1 species
GUAAGGAACUAUUACACUGCAAGAUCUGCGAGUGAUUGUGAAGAUGACUGUGGUUCUUAAACUAGAACAGAAAACUGGUUGCAAAUAUCUUAUACACUGCUAUUUGGGGAAGGUACUCAGUAACACAUCCCUUUGGUGAUAGCUGAACUUGCUGGUUGACUGCAGUCAUCUACUUCACCCUUGAAAGAUUGGCAGUCAGUGCACAGUGGAAGGUGGUGAGGGAGAUACCACUCACACUGAAGGCCUGUUCAUUUCUGUUGAAGCAAAUGAAGAAGUUGAGUAUCUGAAUGGCAGAACAGAGCUGAAGGUCUUGAAACCACUGCAUGAAGUCUCAAAGGUGAAACUUCAGUUAUGGCUAUCCUUAACAGAACAGAUUCACUUUCAAUAUUAAUGUCUUCAAGCCUGUAUUCUCCACUUCUCAGUGACACAGAUGGGUGUGCAGCUGUGGCAGGGACAAAGGCACUGAUACAUUGCUCUGCAAGUGCAAAAAAGUGACCUGACCCCAGUGGAAGCACAGCUAUGGAUCAGAACAACCGAGGCUGCCAGCUCAAGGUACUGCCAGCAUCAGGUGCAC